AACGAACGCUGGCGGCAGGCUUAACACAUGCAAGUCGAACGCACCUUUCGGGCUGAGUGGCAGACGGGUGAGUAACGCGUGGGAAUCUACCCUUCUCUACGGGAUAGCUCCGGGAAACUGGAAUUAAUACCGUAUACGUCCUGAGGGAGAAAGAUUUAUCGGGGAAGGAUGAGCCCGCGUUGGAUUAGCUAGUUGGUGGGGUAAAGGCCUACCAAGGCGACGAUCCAUAGCUGGUCUAAGAGGAUGAUCAGCCACAUUGGGACUGAGACACGGCCCAAACUCCUACGGGAGGCAGCAGUGGGGAAGAUUGGACAAUGGGCGCAAGCCUGAUCCAGCCAUGCCGCGUGAGUGAUGAAGGCCCUAGGGUUGUAAAGCUCUUUCAGUGGGGACGAUAAUGACGGUACCCACAGAAGAAGCCCCGGCUAACUUCGUGCCAGCCGCCGCCGUAA
rnacentral:rRNA from 1 species